rnacentral:misc_RNA from 1 species
AAUCAUCAAAACCUUUUCUUUGAUCAUUUUGGUCGAGAAAGGGUUUUUGGACUUGGAGGAUCAAUGCUCGCUCUCACUUUUCGAAAGUGAGCUCCUCUUAAAUAAAUUAGUGGGGGUUUGCUUCGCCGAUCCUUGACGUGAUAAGUUGCUUCUACGUUUUGGAUUUGGUCGGACACCUGCUUCUAACCGUCCCUAUGGACGACGAUGGUGUUCCGGUCACCUGGACCCAUUAAGAAAACC